GAUGAACGCUAGCGGGAGGCUUAACACAUGCAAGUCGAGCGGGAUUGGCAGCAAUGCCAUGAGAGCGGCGGACGGGUGCGUAACGCGUAUGCAACCUGCCUUAUACAAAGGGAUAGCCCAUGGAAACGUGGAUUAAUACCUUAUGGGACUGACGGAUCGCAUGGUUUGUCAGUUAAAAUUUCGGUGGUAUAAGAUGGGCAUGCGUCUGAUUAGCUAGUUGGUGAGGUAACGGCCCACCAAGGCAACGAUCAGUAGGGGUUCUGAGAGGAUUAUCCCCCACACUGGUACUGAGACACGGACCAGACUCCUACGGGAGGCUG
rnacentral:rRNA from 1 species